UCAUUGGAUUGGAUUUUUUCAAAAGUCAAGCAAAUCACUUUCGAAUUCUCUCUUCUUCCUGUACCUCUGUCUGUGCCCGGUAAUGGAUUGCCUAUAUAUCUCUUCUUCUUCUUCUUCCUUUUCGCUCAUCUUUCUCAUUGUCCUGCAAAAUGACGUCGGAAGAGGAAGAGAACCCCUUGCUGCGGGAUUUCAUAUUCCCUCCGUACGAUGUUGUUGAACCAAAACAUGUUGGCCCCGCCAUCCGAUCGUUGUUGAAAAAGCUCGAGAGUGAUUUGGUUGAGUUGGAGGCUACAGUGGAAACCUCAUGGCCCAAGUUGGUUGAGCCCUUGGAGAGGAUUAUAGACCGAUUGUCGGUUGUCUGGGGAAUUGUGGACCAUCUCAAUGCCGUCAAGGACUCGCCUGAACUCCGCUCUGCCAUCGAAGAUGUUCAGUCACAGAAGGUUGAGUUUCAGCUCAGAUUGGGUCAGAGCAAACCAAUAUAUAACGCAUUCAAAACUAUACGGGAAUCUUCGGACUGGGAAACCUUGAGCGAUGCUCGUAAACGUGUAGUGGAAGGACGAAUAAAGGAAGCAGUUCUUAAUGGUGUUUCUCUUGAAGGUGAAAGCAGAGAUCGUUUUAACAAAAUUCAGCAGGAGCUGGAAAAGCUAUCCCAAAAGUUUGAGGAGAACAUUUUGGAUGCCACAAAAAAGUAUGAGAAGUUGAUCAGAGAUAAGAAAGAGAUUGAAGGUUUGCCUGCUACUACACUAGCUAUGGCUGCAGAAGUGGCAGUGUCCAAGGGAUAUGAAAAGGCAACAGCCGAAGAUGGGCCAUGGAUUCUUACAUUGGAUGGUCCAAGCUAUCGGUCUGUUCUGCAACAUGCUCGGAAUCGAUCUUUACGUGAGGAAAUGUAUCGUGCUUACAUAACACGUGCCUCUGAUGGGGAUCUCAACAACACACAGAAUAUUGAGCGAAUUUUGGAGCUAAGGCUGGAGAAAGCAAAAAUUUUAGGCUAUAAAAAUUACGCUGAGGUAAGCAUGGAAAUGAAAAUGGCUACCUUGGAGAAAGCUGAAGAGCUUAUUGAAAAGCUCCGAAGUGCUUCAUGGAAUGCUGCAGUUAUAGACAUGCAGGAACUUAAAGAUUUUGCUAAAAGUCAAGGUGCCAUUGAAGCUGAAGAAUUAACCCAUUGGGACAUUAACUUUUGGAGCGAGAGACUUAGGGAGUUGAGAUACAAUAUAAAUGAGGAAGACCUACGUCCUUUCUUCUCAUUGUCAAGGGUCAUGGAUGGUCUUUUCAACCUCUCAAAGAUGCUCUUCAGUAUUGACAUUGAACCAGCUGAUGGCCUAGCUCCUAUCUGGAAUAAAGAUGUCAGAUUCUUCUGUGUCAAAAAUUGCUUUGGUGCACCAAUUUCAUACUUCUAUUUUGAUCCAUAUUCUCGUCCAUCAGAAAAACGUGGUGGAGCAUGGGCAGGUGUGGUUGUUGGUCGUAGUCAUACAGUUUCAGGGGGUGAUACAUCUCCCAGGUUGCCUAUUGCCCAAGUUGUAUGCAAUCAAAAUCCACCAGUGGGGAGCAAACCAAGCCUUAUGACCAUGCGCGAAGUUGAGGCAGUUUUCCAUGAGUUUGGCCAUGCACUUCAGCACAUGCUAACCAAACAAGAUGAAGGUCUUGUUUCUGGUUAUCGGGGGAUAGAGUGGGAUGCUGUUGAAUUAUCUUCUCAGUUUAUGGAGAAUUGGUGUUAUCAGAGGCAUAUUUUAAUGGGCAUUGCCAAACACUAUGAAACUGGAGAAACUCUCCCUGAAGAGAUAUGUUUGAAACUUCAUUCUGCAAGGACUUUUCGUGCUGGUUCACUUUUGCUCCGUCAGUUACGUUAUGCAAUUGUAGAUUUGGAGCUCCACACAAAGUACAUUCCAGGUGGGCCAGAAUCAAUAUAUGAUAUUGAUGGAAGAGUGGGUAAAAUGACACAUGUAAUCCCACUGCUGCAACAGGACAGAUUUCUUUGUAGCUUUAGCCAUAUAUUUGCAGAUCAAUAUGCAGCUGGAUACUACAGUUACCAAGUAGGUUUUGUUAAUCUCUUUAAUACGUUAUGUAGUUUCUUUUUCAUGGAUUUAGUUUUUCCUAUAUUUUUUUUUUCUAUUUUCCUUGAACUCACAUGGGUAUAUUUGUGUUCUUGAAUCAUUUUAGGGUAUAAUACCUGAAUUAUUGUUUGAGAGUAGAAAUAUUUUUCCGAACUAUUUCACAACCCUGAAUUGCCUCUGAUAGAAUCAUUUUAGGGUCACAACAUUCAGGGUAGAAAUUGCAACAUUAGGUACUCAGUACAAAUCUAAACUAAAUUUCUUCUAUUUUCUUGACCCUUUUCUUAAAGAUAGUGUUUGUCAUGUGAGGAGAUGUGGUGAGGCAUAGCUGCAUGAGGAGAGAUUUUCAGGAGGAAAUAGAAGCUUUGAAUACCAUAAUCAAAGAAAAUUUGUUCCUGUCUUAGAUAUAUGUACAAAAGCAUAUAUACCUUGAAAUAUUGUAUUCGUGUCCUAGAAAGAGAGCUGGGAGCAGAUUGCAUGUGCAGUAUGACUAUAUUAUCAGGAUGCAGCAUAAGCUUGGGUGUUGACUUCCUUCUUCCUUCCCUUUUAUUUAUCUGUAUAACUAUGCCUCUUUCUUGUUUCCUUUUUGUGGAUAUUUCAGUGGGCAGAAGUGUUAUCCUUUGAUGCUUUCUCUGCAUUUGAGGAGGUCGGAUUGGACAAUGACCAGGUAUAGCCGUGUAGCUUUAAUCAUGCACCAUACUUUGAAACAGUUUUGAGCAACGACUCUUUCAAUCCUCAGUUGACCAUUCUUGUAUGCUCUAAACAUUUUUGACUAACCUUUUUAUUUCACCUUAUGCCUGUAUCUCGUGUCAGGUUUUUUUUCUAUAAAUUGCAUCUGUAAUUCAUUUAAUGAACUGGAAGCCUUAUGAUGAGCUUCUAUGAUGAUGGAAGCUAAAUGUAUUAUGAAAAAAAUACAGUACCUUUUCAUUUCUGAUAGAUUAUUACUUUAGGAUUUCAAAGGUAUUUGCUACUUGUGGUAGUAUUUUGCUCUUGCUCCCUUUUUAGCUAAAUGUUUUAUAGGUGCUUUCGCCCACCUAUGGUGGAAGGCUGUUCAUGCGGUCCAAAUGGGACCGGGACUGGGAUUCUUAGGAAUCCUGGACUGCUAAGGUAUUUCCUUUUUUGUUUAUAUAUAUCAUCCAAACAAAAAUUUUCUUUAAAAACAACAUCUAAAUAAGAAUCAACAUUCAACAAUCAACAUAAUGCAGCAUUCUAAAUUAAGUUAAUUAACAUCUAACUUCAUAAAACAAAUUAAAAAUCACCAAAUGCAACAUUUGAUUUAAUAUCAAACUUCAAACAACAAAAUAAUAACAAAAUAUUGCAUUCAACUUUUUUUCAACAUUUUCAAAAUAUAACAUUUAACUUAAUAACAUCCAACUGGUCCAGCCAAUUUUUGGUCUUGGAUGGUCUUUGGACCAGACCAGGCUAAAGACUGGCUGGUGCCUUUGGGCGGACUAAGGACCGGACUGGUUUCCCAGUUCAGACUCAAAUUUGAACACCCCUACAGUUGUGGAAAUCCAAACUGGUAAAUUAGUUUUACAUGCUGUUGAUGCACUUGUUUGCCGCAGAAAGGUGGUCUGCAUUUUCUUUUGAUGUUGUAUGAUGGAAUGGUGUGCAUUUCUGGUCAAAGAAGUUCUUUACUGUGUUGAGUUUUCUUAUUUUCAUGUAACUUCCUUCGUUGCAGCUUUGAAAAUUCUGUCCUCCAUGUAAACACCCGAGGCUGUGAAAGAAUUGGGCCAGAAGUUUCGGGAGACUGUACUUGCUAUCGGAGGUGGAAAGGCACCCUUGGAGGUCUUUGUUGAAUUCCGAGGACGCAACCCAUCGCCAAAUGCGUUUCUCCGGUACAAUGGACUGCUACCAGCUGUAG